GAGUGUGAGGGCAAUCUGACUUUGACCUCUAUCACUGCUCUGAUCUUCAGAGUUGAUUUAAUCCAUCUGGUGGCUAGGAGGGUAUCCCCUUCCUCUCUCACUCCAUGAGUGCUCAGGGGAGGACUAUAUUCCCCCAUGGAGGAGGACCAUUCUUUAGUCAAGGGCAUAUGAGUAGUUGUGCUUCCCUGCUGGAACCUCUAAACAAGCCUUCAAGGUCCAUUUGCAGGAGAACAUAGGGUAGUCACACCUCCAAGACUCCAGACACAUCCAAAUGUGGUGCUGCAUGUGUCUAUCUGCCUUUCUUA
ensembl:misc_RNA 7SK 7SK RNA